rnacentral:rRNA from 1 species
UUGAACGCUGGCGGCAUGCCUUACACAUGCAAGUCGAACGGUAGAGGGGCAACCCCUGAGAGUGGCGAACGGGUGAGUAAUGCAUCGGAACGUGCCCAGUCGUGGGGGAUAACGCAGCGAAAGCUGUGCUAAUACCGCAUGUGAUCUGUGGAUGAAAGCAGGGGACCGCAAGGCCUUGUGCGAUUGGAGCGGCCGAUGUCAGAUUAGCUAGUUGGUAGGGUAAAAGCCUACCAAGGCGACGAUCUGUAGCUG